CCUCUGGCCAUACACUCACACAACUUCAAAAUCUUCAAACGAGCAACAUCUCUUUGUUUUAUUGGACUGGAUUUGUCAGAUUCAAUCAAAAUGAAGAUCGCUGCCUUCAAUGUGAAGAGACUGGGAUGGAAAAAGGUCAACAAGGAGGACGUACGGGAAAUUAUCAUUAAGAUCAUGUCUCAGUACAGCGUGGUGGUGCUGGUGGAGGUGACGGAUAAGACAGGUGGUGAUGCCAUGAAACUGCUCCUCAAACACCUUAAUGCA